GUAUCCAUAGUGUGGGCAUAAUGAUAAAGUGACUUGAAGCGAUCCCAUACUUCAUGAAAGGAUUCAGUAUCCUUUUGAUAAAAGUUGGAAAUUCCAUCCCUUAAUUC
rfam:Ricinus communis cultivar Hale ctg_1100012306673, whole genome shotgun sequence.